rnacentral:tRNA from 1 species
GCCUCCGGAAGGUUAGUGGUUAAUGUUCUAGUCUGGUAAACCGGAGGUGGUGGGUUCGAUUCCCACCCGUGGCA